rnacentral:misc_RNA from 1 species
AACUCAAAAAAAUUCAACGGCGGCAUUCACAGGCCCCUGCUUUCCUUCAAGCCCUCACACACACACACACACACACACAUACAGCCCCUGUAGUGCUUCGGUGCUUCGUCUGCUCCUGUUUGUCUCAGACGAGCCUCGUCCGUCUUGUCGCCCCCGCGUUAACUUGCGUCCUUCCAGUGCAGCCAGCGCUCCCUACCAAAAGCAAAUAAAAGAAGCACAAACAAACAGACUCUAGAGAGCUACCCGCAGUGCGUCAUGUUCAAGAACGAGUACGAUAGCGACAUCACGACCUGGAGCCCGACGGGCCGGCUCUUUCAGAUCGAGUAUGCGAAUGAGGCUGUCAACAACGGCUCCGCGACGGUUGGCGUGAAAGGGAGGGACUUUGUCGUGCUCGCCGCACUCAAGCGCAGCCCCGUCGCGGAGCUGUCCUCGUACCAAGAAAAGGUCUUCGAGGUUGACGAGCAUGUUGGCAUGUCCAUCUCGGGCCUCGUGGCGGAUGGCCGCGUGCUUGCUCGCUUCCUGCGCACAGAAUGCAUGAACUACCGCUACAUGUAUAGCCAUGGUAUGCCUAUGAAUCAAAUGGCGGACAUGAUCGGCGAGAAGCACCAGCGCCACAUCCAAUUCAGCGGCAAGCGUCCUUUCGGCGUUGGCCUGCUGCUUGCUGGUUACGAUCGCCAGGGACCGCACCUGUACCAGACGGUGCCGUCCGGUGACGUUUACGACUACAAGGCCACGGCGAUGGGCGUGCGCUCGCAGGCGUCCCGCACGUAUUUGGAGAAGCAUUUCGAGCACUUCACCGACUGCACCCUCGAUGAGCUCGUGGCGCACGCACUGAAGGCCCUCGCUUCCGCGACAUCGGAGGGCGUGGAGUUGAAUGUAAAGAACACCACCAUCGCCAUCGUAGGCAAGGAUACCCCCUUCACCAUCUUUGAGGAGGAGAGCGCGCGCAGGUACCUGGAUGGGUUCAAGAUGCGUCCAGAAGACCGCGUGGCGGCGGCGGACGAUGAGGAGGAGGUUCUGCACGAGCAGCCUCUGGACGUCGAGGAAUAGACGGUGCCGCCGCGAAGCGGCGCUUGGGAUCGCAGGUGUGUGCUGGCGGGUCUGUGGGCUCGGUAAGCGAGAGUUAGAGUGGAUGGGAGGGUGUUGCCGUGUCACUCCUUUCUUUUCCUUCCCUCUGAGCUCCUUCGCACCUUGCACACAAUGCCCGCACCGUCUUGUGGGUAGGGGGCGUGUGCCAGUCCUCUCUUGCUGUGCACCUCCUUUGUUUCUGUUUUACUUUAUUUGUGCUAGCUCCCUUCUUCAUUUCAUGCGCGUGGAUGUGUGUGUGUGUGUGUGUGCCGGAGCAGAGCUUGCCGCUUGACAGCUUGUGACUGUGCAGGGGAUGGGGGGCGGAGGGGCAGCGGUGUCUCCUGUUCUGUUCACGUCUUGCUGACUUUGGCCUCUUGGCUCCCUCCCUCUACGUCUACAGUGGGUGUGCCUGUUUCUGCGGUGUUGGCGGCGUGAGCCGGCAUUUGAUGG